rnacentral:rRNA from 1 species
UACGUAGGGGGCAAGCGUUGUCCGGAAUCAUUGGGCGUAAAGAGCGUGUAGGCGGCCUGGUAAGUCCGCUGUGAAAGUCCAGGGCUCAACCCUGGAAUGCCGGUGGAAACUGUCAGGCUCGAGUCCGGAAGAGGCGAGUGGAAUUCCUGGUGUAGCGGUGAAAUGCGCAGAUAUCAGGAGGAACACCCAUAGCGAAGGCAGCUCGCUGGGACGGUACUGACGCUGAGACGCGAAAGCGUGGGGAGCGAACAGG